GUGCUACUGCUGUAGCCACUUCCUGGUUACUUUAUCUAGCUAGCAAUUAUUUUAUGUGAAAGGGGAUGAGGUUUUCUGAAGAGGAAAAUCUUCCCAUUGAAACUGGAUGAGAAAUUCAGACAAAAUGAGCUGGAUGCCCUUCAAGAUUGGACAACCAAAAAAGCAGAUUGUUUCCAAAACGGUUGAAAGAGACUUUGAAUGAGAAUAUAACAAGCUCCAAAAAAUUUGGCAGUACGUUGAACCUGGCUUCACAACCGCAGACCACGUGUAGCUACGCCAGCCCAGAAUCUCCACAUCGGGCUUAUUCACCUGCGGGAUCGUCUGAGACCAGCCACCCAGACAGCUGAUGAAACUGGGUUUGCCUUCCCCCUAAAAACCUCUGCACAAACUGUCAGGGAAGCUCAUCUGCGUGCUCGUUGUCCUCGCCAGAGUCUUGACCUAACUGCAGUUCGUCGUCGUGACCGACUUCAGUGGAGGUGUGCUAUUUACGGAUUAAUCCCGGUUUCAAAUGUAUUGUGCAGAUGUCAACGUUGUGAACAGAGUGCCCCAUGGUGGCGGUGGGGUUAUGGUAUGGGCAGGCAUAAGCUACAGACAAUGAACACAAUUGCAUUUUAUCGAUGGAAAUUUGAAUGCACAGAGAUACAGAGACCAGAUCCAGAAAUCAAUUGUGGUGGCAUUCAUCCGCUGCCAUCACCUUAUGUUUCAGCAUGAUAAUGCACGGCCCCAUGUCGCAAGAAUCGGUACACAACUUCUGGAAGCUGAAAAUGUCCCAGUUCUUCCACGGCC
ensembl:lncRNA